GAUGAACGUUAGCUACAGGCUUAACACAUGCAAGUCGAGGGGCAGCACGGGAAUAGCUUGCUAUUCUGGGUGGCGACCGGCGCACGGGUGAGUAACGCGUAUCCAACCUGCCCACUACUCAGGGAUAGCCUUGCGAAAGUAAGAUUAAUACCUGAUGUUGUUAUUUUGCUGCAUGGUGAAUUAACUAAAGAUUUAUUGGUAAUGGAUGGGGAUGCGUAACAUUAGGUAGUUGGUGAGGUAACGGCUCACCAAGCCUACGAUGUUUAGGGGUUCUGAGAGGAAGGUCCCCCACACUGGAACUGAGACACGGUCCAGACUCCUACGGGAGGCAGCAGUGAGGAAUACUGGUCAAUGGACGAGAGUCUGAACCAGCCAAGUAGCGUGCAGGAUGACGGCCCUCUGGGUUGUAAACUGCUUUUAGUUGGGAAUAAAAGAUAGCACGUGUGCUAUGUAUUGUAUGUACCAUCAGAAAAAGGACCGGCUAAUUCCGUGCCAGCAGCCGCGGUAAAAC
rnacentral:rRNA from 1 species